rnacentral:rRNA from 1 species
UACGGAGGGUGCAAGCGUUAUCCGGAUUUACUGGGUUUAAAGGGUGUGUAGGCGGACUUUUAAGUCAGGGGUGAAAUCUCCGAGCUCAACUCGGAAACUGCCUUUGAUACUAUUAGUCUUGAAUUAUGUUGAGGUUGGCGGAAUAUAACAUGUAGCGGUGAAAUGCAUAGAUAUGUUAUAGAACACCGAUUGCGAAGGCAGCUGGCUAAACAUAUAUUGACGCUGAGGCACGAAAGCGUGGGUAGCGAACAGGAUUAGAUACCCUGGUAGUCCACGCCCUAAACGAUGAUUACUCGUCAUUAGCGAUACACAGUUAGUGACCAAGCGAAAGCGUUAAGUAAUCCACCUGGGAAGUACGACCGCAAGGUUGAA